ensembl:lncRNA
UGGUAGCCGCAUAUGGCUGCUCUGAGUGGACAUGUGCUGCAACCGAGAUGUACACUGGGUUUCCAAGGCCUAGUACAAGACAAUGGGAAGAUUUGCUCCAAGCCAACAUCUGUUGCCAAUCUUCUUCCUCUUCCCCACCACCGCUGGAUCACAGCACGUAGUUGUAAAUUCUUCUAGUUCCUCCAUGCAAGUCACUGCCACAGCACAGCUACCAACAGACAAGUGGUGUGGUUCUGCACCCGGACACCGAGCCCAGGCCGCCAACGCGGAGCAGGCCAAACUUGAAGCACCAGGCCGUCAGGGCUGGCUCACUUGAUAGGCUUUUUAAAACUAAAAAUAAAUAAAUAAUAAUUAAUUAUUUUAUUAUUUUGUUAAUUAAGUUGAUAAAUUACUUAAGUUUUAUUAAUCACUUUAUUAUGUUAAUUUUCAUCAUUCUCUCCUCCCGUUCUUCACAUCAGCCCCUCAACUGGCUACAUCAGUGGUGCUUUAGCACCGUAAGGAUGAAUUAAAAUUAUUGUUUCCUUACCUUCUAUGUCAUGAUAUGUUCCCUGUUUUCUUUUACAGUCGUCCCCCCUUAUCUGCAGGGGAAACGUUCCAAGACCCCCGGUGGACGCCUGAAACUGAGCAGA